rnacentral:rRNA from 1 species
AAUAGAUACCCGGGUAGUCCACGCCGUAAACGAUGAGUGCUAAGUGUUAGGGGGUUUCCGCCCCUUAGUGCUGCAGCUAACGCAUUAAGCACUCCGCCUGGGGAGUACGGUCGCAAGACUGAAACUCAAAGGAAUUGACGGGGGCCCGCACAAGCGGUGGAGCAUGUGGUUUAAUUCGAAGCAACGCGAAGAACCUUACCAGGUCUUGACAUCCCACUGACUGCUAUGGAGACAUAGUUUUCCCUUCGGGGACAGUGGUGACAGGUGGUGCAUGGUUGUCGUCAGCUCGUGUCGUGAGAUGUUGGGUUAAGUCCCGCAACGAGCGCAACCCUUGAUCUUAGUUGCCAUCAUUUAGUUGGGCACUCUAAGGUGACUGCCGGUGACAAACCGGAGGAAGGUGGGGAUGACGUCAAAUCAUCAUGCCCCUUAUGACCUGGGCUACACACGUGCUACAAUGGACGGUACAAACGGUUGCCAACCCGCGAGGGGGAGCUAAUCCGAUAAACCGUUCUCAGUUCGGAUUGUAGGCUGCAACUCGCCUAC